rnacentral:rRNA from 1 species
GAUGAACGCUGGCGGCGUGCCUAAUACAUGCAAGUCGAGCGAACAGACGAGGAGCUUGCUCCUCUGACGUUAGCGGCGGACGGGUGAGUAACACGUGGAUAACCUACCUAUAAGACUGGGAUAACUUCGGGAAACCGGAGCUAAUACCGGAUAAUAUAUUUAACCGCAUGGUUCAAUAGUGAAAGACGGUUUUGCUGUCACUUAUAAAUGGAUCCGCGCCGCAUUAGCUAGUUGGUAAGGUAACGGCUUACCAAGGCAACGAUGCGUAGCCGACCUGAGAGGGUGUUCGGCCACACUGGAACUGGGACACGGUCCAGCCCCCUACGGGAGGCAGCAGUAGGGAAUCUUCCGCAAUGGGCGAAAGCCUGACGGAGCAACGCCGCGUGAUUGAUGAAGGUUUUCGGAUCGUAAAACUCGGUUAUUAGGGAAGAACAAAUGUGUAAUUAACUAUGCACGUCUUGACGGUACCUACUCAGAAAGCCACGGCUAACUACGUG